GACGAACGCUGGCGGCGUGCCUAAUACAUGCAAGUUGAGCGCUGAAGGUUGGUACUUGUACCGACUGGAUGAGCAGCGAACGGGUGAGUAACGCGUGGGGAAUCUGCCUUUGAGCGGGGGACAACAUUUGGAAACGAAUUCUAAUACAGCAUAACCAAUUUAAACCCAAGUUUUAAGUUUGCAAGAUUCAAUUGCAUCACUCAAAUAUGAUCCCGCGUUGUAUUAGCUAGUUGGGGAGGUAAAGGCUCACCAAGGCGAUGAUACAUAGCCGACCUGAGAGGGGGAUCGGCCACAUUGGGACUGAGACACGGCCCAAACUCCUACGGGAGGCAGCAGUAGGGAAUCUUCGGCAAUGGACGAAAGUCUGACCGAGCAACGCCGCGUGAGUGAAGAAGGUUUUCGGAUCGUAAAACUCUGUUGGUAGAGAAGAACGUUGGUGAGAGUGGAAAGCUCAUCAAGUGACGGUAACUACCCAGAAAGGGACGGCUAACUACGUGCCAGCCGCCGCAGUAA
rnacentral:rRNA from 1 species